rnacentral:rRNA from 1 species
UACGGAGGGUGCAAGCGUUAUCCGGAUUCACUGGGUUUAAAGGGUGCGUAGGUGGGUCUGUAAGUCAGUGGUGAAAUCUCCGGGCUUAACCCGGAAACUGCCAUUGAUACUAUAGGUCUUGAAUACUCUGGAGGUAAGCGGAAUAUGUCAUGUAGCGGUGAAAUGCUUAGAUAUGAACAUAGAACACCAAUUGCGAAGGCAGCUUACUACGGGGUCAUUGGCACUGAGGCACGAAAGCGUGGGGAUCAAACAGG